rnacentral:rRNA from 1 species
GUGGGGAAUAUUGCACAAUGGGCGCAAGCCUGAUGCAGCAACGCCGCGUGAGGGAUGACGGCCUUCGGGUUGUAAACCUCUUUUAGUAGGGAAGAAGCGUAAGUGACGGUACCUGCAGAAAAAGCACCGGCUAACUACGUGCCAGCAGCCGCGGUAAUACGUAGGGUGCAAGCGUUGUCCGGAAUUAUUGGGCGUAAAGAGCUCGUAGGCGGCUUGUCGCGUCUGCUGUGAAAUCCCGGAGCUCAACUCCGGGCCUGCAGUGGGUACGGGCAGGCUAGAGUGCGGUAGGGGAGAUUGGAAUUCCUGGUGUAGCGGUGGAAUGCGCAGAUAUCAGGAGGAACACCGAUGGCGAAGGCAGAUCUCUGGGCCGUAACUGACGCUGAGGAGCGAAAGCAUGGGGAGCGAACAGGAUUAGAAACCCUAGUAGUCC